GCCCCAUUCACUUCCACUCAAAGUGCCUCAAUGCAAUAUUGAUUGCAUUUCUUGAUAUUAAUUUUAUGAAUUCAUUUAAACAUUUUGUUUUAAUUUACUUUAACCAGCUGUGAAAUUUCUGUUUUUAAAUCUGUGUGUCUUCUUUAAAUAGCUCGCUCUUGACUGUUGUACUCGCUUACGGCCAUACCACCCUGAGCACGCCCGAUCUCGUCCGAUCUCGGAAGCUAAGCAGCGUCAGGCCUGGUUAGUACUUGAAUGGGAGACCACCUGGGAAUACCAGGUGCUGUAAUCUUUUGCUUUUCGUUCAGCUAACACGCUUAUUCAUGGCUCAGCUUUCAUUCUACACUAAAAAAAAAUGGAUUCCCUGCAUUUCGAAGAUGCUUGUUUUACAAACAAGAUCCAGUUUGACGAUGGAUUUGCACAUCGUUUAUUUCUUAAGGAUAAUGCAGUCCCAACGAAAAAGGGUCACGAUCGUGUGUUGGAACCACAUGCGGUGAGUAAAACUGCUUCAAAUAUCUCUGUGUUGUUAACUUAGCUAUCAGCGCGUAAGCACAUCAAGUAAACAACAUGCGAUGUUGUCAUCAAACUGCACUUUCCACAUGUACAGCUUAAAAAAAUAAAAAAAAGACGACAUAAAGUGGAACUUAGUCAUUUUCCAAAACAGCUAAGCAAAUAUAUACAGUUUCAGUACAUACCACAUAGAGACGCCUUUGCUGAUGCUGCUCUUGUUAAAUUUCAGCCUCUGGAUCUGUGUCACAGCUUCCAAACGCUCUCAACGCAAAAGCCUACUGGCACUCGUGAUUCUUUAGCUCCGCCCACACGUCACGCCUCUAGGCGCUCGUGUUUUUCCGGGAAAAAUCGGUACAGACUAUCUUUCUCUUAUAAAUAUAAUAAAAAUAAAGACUUUUUGGAGUUAUGAAAGAUGCAGUACUACUCUAUAGGUACUCAAGAUUAACAGGAUAUUGAGUGAAAACGAGCAUUUCAACAUAAGACAUAAGAUCAAUUUUUACUUUUAAAUUAUGUCGGCCUAUACGAUUUUUAUUUACUUUUAGUAAAAAAAAAAAAAAGUUAUCGUCGGAAAAAGUGUUAUUUGUUUUUACUUAUUAAGUUAAUUACUCUAAUCUAUGACUUGUCUAAAUCUAGACUAUUCCAUCGAUAGAUCUUUUAUUUUUGUCAAUCUUAAUUUCUCAAGAUAUGUCAAUUAACACACCCGCAUCUGGAGUCUGUGUGAUUACUGGUGUGUGCAUAUCAGUUAAACAUCAAGCGAUUGUAAAACAUCUAAUGGUUUUGAAAUGGUUGUAACUUGAUUGUGAAACUAACUAAUUUCAAGGGAUCUGUGUCAUUUAACCGCCCCAAAAAAAACUUCCACUCAAACACCCAAUGUUCGUUUUAACAAGACAGAGGGGUUGGUACAUACAUAUGGUGAAUUUCGGCAGUUUCAACAGCGCAUGAGCGGGGUACCGGGAGAAAUCCCAUCGGGUACAGUUAGAACAAAAUGUAUCUGUUAAUGCUCUUACUCUGAUCACAGAACGUUUAAAUCUUAUGCAAAGAAUGUUAUCAGAUUUGUACCAGUGUGUUAUGCUUGAUCGCCCUUGAUAUGUAUUGUAUUGUUGUUUUUUAUUAUUAUUAUUAUUAUUAAAAAAAAUAUUUUUUGACAUCGAUUCGUUAUUACCACCGAAUAUUUCUUACAUUAUUGUAUGUUAUUGACAACGAGUCAUUAUUAUAGUUAGUUAUUUCUUACAUUUAUUAUUGUUUUGUUCUUGGUAGUGAAUUAUCAUUAUCACUAGUUUCUUUAAUUUAUUAAUAUUGUUUGUUGUUGUCAUUGAUUUAUACCUAACAGUAUGGCAUGUUAUUGUCUCCCAUAUUAGGUGUUGUUUUACUUGCAGAGAAAAGGUGUUUUGAAUUUAUACCUACUGUAUGUUUCUGUUUUUGUUAUCUUGUUAUGUCACAUUGUGAAUCGGGGUUGGUGUUUUCAGGAGUGUGUACAAAUCUUUAAACUUAAAAAAGGUGUGUUUUCGAUUUAAAAAUAAAUAAAAAAAUAAUUUCAAAAUGAGUAGUAAAAGAUGUCAUGAUGAUUUACAUACCCACACUUCAGAAGAUGAUCAGAGAUCAUUAAGACCCAGAUAUGAUUUUCAAAACGAUACACAACAGUUAUGUGAAAUUAUUAACAAUCAUUUACAGAUGUUACCGCCUAAUCUCUUAACAUGAUAGAUAGAUUACAUGAGUUUAUAGACGAACAACACGAAUGGUUGGGUGUAGCUAUAAACUGUGAUGAACAGGUCGGUGCAGGACCUUCUAAUAACGAUCCCUAAGCUUAUGAUCCCACAGCUCCAGACAUGGGUCUCAGUCAGCCUUACGUAGAUAGACUAGUGAGAGAAGGAGGUAGUGUGGGUGAUUUUACGAUUGUCUCAAGACCUCGAUUUAAUGGUUUAGAAAUUCGCAGAACAUUUUCGUGAAAUAGCAACAGAUGAUUUUGCAGCUUAUAAUAUAUUUUUACAGGGUAUUUUGAACAAGAUUGUUACGUUUUCCAGAUUAUUAGCUGGUGAGGUUUUUUUUACAAAAUAUCUCUCUGCAAGGUGCAAGUCUCCCCACAGAUAUUAAUGCCGUUCUAACGCCUGAUAACAAUCACGACGUUAAUGUAUUUGUAGACCAAAUCGAACGAACCGUUCAAAUCAAUACGGAUGUGAGUUUUGAUACCGCUUUAGAGUUAUGUAUCUUUGUAGCGCGAAACAAACAAGGUGGUGGUGGUGCCUGUAGGAAGUGACAGACCUGGCUCAUAAUCAGGUCAUACAGAAAAAUAGAAUGCAUUUGUUUGCCCCAGAAAAUUUCGCAGACAAUAUGUGUUUUAGCACGUGCAUAGCUCACUUUCUAAAUCCACAGUGUAUCAAUUGGUGACAUUAGCCAGAAAUAUACAUACUGAUCUGGGUUACGAGCCACAAGAUAAAAUUGCAUUGCAUGAUUUUUCUAAAUUUGAAGCAUUUCUAGACCUGAAAAUAGUUAUCUUUCACAGAUCGGAUUCAGGUAAAUUGGAAAUAUAUAAAAAUACGGAUUAGCCGCAUCACAAGACAUUGCAUUUGUACCUGCAUGAAGAUCAUUUUUAUGCGAUAAAAAAUUUGAAAGGUUUCUUAGGUUACUCAUAUUUUUGUGACUACUGCUAUCAAGGGUUUAAUGAUCAACUACUAUUUGCGCUGUGUCGAACCUGUGCUGAGGCACAGUAUCAGGGUCAGUGUCAGCACGGUGAUGACGAAAGAGUCAUUUCAGGAGUUUGGACCUCUGUCGAGCUCUCCAGAGCUAUUGAUAAAGGUUAUUCG
rnacentral:lncRNA from 1 species